rnacentral:rRNA from 1 species
CAGCAGCCACGGUAAUACAGAGGGUGCGAGCGUUAAUCGGAUUUACUGGGCGUAAAGCGUGCGUAGGCGGCUUCUUAAGUCGGAUGUGAAAUCCCUGAGCUUAACUUAGGAAUUGCAUUCGAUACUGGGAAGCUAGAGUAUGGGAGAGGAUGGUAGAAUUCCAGGUGUAGCGGUGAAAUUCGUAGAGAUCUGGAGGAAUACCGAUGGCGAAGGCAGCCAUCUGGCCUAAUACUGACGCUGAGGUACGAAAGCAUGGGGAGCAAACAGGAUUAGAUACCCGCGUAGUCCCUGUCUCUUAUAC